CAGUCGCCGCGGUAAUACGAAGGGGGCUAGCGUUGUUCGGAAUUACUGGGCGUAAAGGGCGCGUAGGCGGCCAUUCAAGUUAGAUGUGAAAGCCCUGGGCUCAACCUAGGAAUUGCAUUUGAUACUGUUUGGCUUGAGUUCGGGAGAGGUGAGUGGAAUUCCCAGUGUAGAGGUGAAAUUCGUAGAUAUUCGGAAGAACACCAGUGGCGAAGGCGACUCGCUGGACAAGUAUUGACGCUGAGGUGCGAAAGCGUGGGGAGCAAACAGGAUUAGAUACCCCCGUAGUCCCUGUCUCUUAUAC
rnacentral:rRNA from 1 species